UCCUUCUGAUGCUCUUCUGUUUUUAGAAAAGGAACCCAGGACUUCUGGGUGAUGUCUGCGGUAUCAUAACAAGAGUCUAAUUCCUCUCCUUCCAGAUCCCCAUUAAAAUAUCCACAGAAAAAUAAGAGGAAAAACUACAUCCAGCGCUGAUACUUGGGCAGGCUGAAAUAUGCAUACCAAACCUCCAGGAAUUUCUGCUCGAUGAGACUGAAGUGAAAGAAGAGGCGAACUCAUGACUCACCCUCCGUGAAAGAGGGGCACUGUGCAGAUUGAAUCCUGGGAGACACAGGCUACAGUUUACUCAUCUUUUCAUCACUCCCGCACAGCCUGGCAAGGUGUCACGAGAUGGAUGCAGGACUCAUAAAAGAUUGAUAGUUUUCCAUCCGGAGAUUUGCUGAAAUACUGCCGGUUUUGCUCUGGGAAGCCAGGUGGCUGCAUUUGAGACCAAGAUUUGCUGAAUCAGAUCUGGAUUGGAGAUGUCUCCAGGAUUUCCUGGUUCUCGUACAUGGGAAACAGUAUUUGGCGAACGCCAUCCAGGCACAUCAUAAUAUUAUGGCUUCAGUUGAUUAACCUGUUGUUUGGCUAAAGCACUUUGCCUUUGUUCUUAAGGAAGCAAACUGCUGUUUCACUUCCCUGAAGCCCCUGAUAAUACCAUACAAGAACAUCAGAGAAAAAAUGAAUCCAAGAUAGGUGCCAUCCCCAGGGGAACAGAACACUUCUUUGUUUUAUAUUUCCAUUGGAAAUCUGGAGAUUUUGCAUGCAAACGUCUUAUUUCAUGGCA
rnacentral:lncRNA from 1 species